rnacentral:rRNA from 1 species
CCUACGGGUGGCAGCAGUGAGGAAUAUUGGUCAAUGGUCGGGAGACUGAACCAGCCAAGCCGCGUGAGGGAGGAAGGUACAGAGUAUCGUAAACCUCUUUUGUCAGGGAACAAAGACUGGGACGCGUCCCCGGAUGAGUGUACCUGAAGAAAAAGCAUCGGCUAACUCCGUGCCAGCAGCCGCGGUAAUACGGAGGGUGCAAGCGUUAUCCGGAUUUACUGGGUGUAAAGGGAGCGUAGACGGCGCUGCAAGUCCGGAGUGAAAGCCCAUGGCUUAACCAUGGUACUGCUCUGGAAACUGUGGAGCUUGAGUGCGGGAGGGGCAGGCGGAAUUCCUAGUGUAGCGGUGAAAUGCGUAGAUAUUAGGAGGAACACCGGCGGCGAAGGCGGCCUGCUGGACCGUAACUGACGUUGAGGCUCGAAAGCGUGGGGAGCAAACAGGAUUAGAUACCCCAGUAGUC